rfam:Gossypium hirsutum cultivar TM-1 chromosome 15, whole genome shotgun sequence
AUUCUGUGAUGAGGGCAUCUUCAUAAUAGUUCUUUAAACCUUUCUCACACCUCAUACACGGACUCGUCAUCCAUCUGUUGGAAGGUAGCGAUCUCGUUCCUCAACUU